rnacentral:misc_RNA from 1 species
GAUGAAGAACGUAGCGAAAUGCGAUAAGUAAUGUGAAUUGCAGAAUUCAGUGAAUCAUCGAGUCUUUGAACGCACAUUGCGCCCCCUGGUAUUCCGGGGGGCAUGCCUGUCCGAGCGUCAUUGCUGCCCUCAAGCACGGCUUGUGUGUUGGGCCCCCGUCCCCGGUUUCCCCCGGGGACGGGCCCGAAAGGCAGCGGCGGCACCGCGUCCGGUCCUCGAGCGUAUGGGGCUUUGUCACCCGCUCUGUAGGCCCGGCCGGCGCCAGCCGACACCCAACUUUAUUUCUAAGGUUGACCUCGGAUCAGGUAGGGAUACCCGCUGAACUUAAGCAUAUCUAAGCGGAGGA